rnacentral:rRNA from 1 species
GAAGGACGCGAUAAGCUGCGAAAAGCUGCGGUGAGGUGCAAGUAACCAUUGACCCGCAGGUGUCCGAAUGGGGAAACCCGGCAGCAGGAGUGCUGUCAUCCGAAAGGAAGGGAACCCGGUGAACUGAAACAUCUAAGUAGCCGGAGGAAAAGGAAUCAACAGAGAUACCCUCAGUAGCGGCGAGCGAACGGGGCAGAGCCCAAACCGGGGCGGGAAACCGCUUCGGGGUUGCGGACUGCUAACAAAUGGUUGGACGAAGCAGAACCAGUUGGGAAACUGGGCCAGAGACGGUGAGAGCCCGGUAAGCGUAAGGAAGACCAUGGAGCAGGAUCCAGAGUACCACGGGGCACGAGGAACCUUGUGGGAAGCAGGGGGGACCACCCUCCAAGGCGAAACACUGAUAUGGACCGAUAGCGAAUAGUACCGUGAGGGAACGGUGAAAAGAACCCCGGGAGGGGAAUGAAAGAGAACCUGAAACCGUAUGUCUACAAACAGUCGGAGCGCUUUACAUGCGCGACGGCGUGCCUAUUGAAGAAUGAACCGGCGAGUUACUGUUGCCAGCGAGGUUAAGCGGGAAACGCGGAGCCGAAGCGAAAGCGAGUCUGAACAGGGCGAUAAGUUGGUAGCAGUAGACCCGAAACCACAGUGAUCUACCCAUGUCCAGGUUGAAGCACAGGUAAAAAUGUGUGGAGGACCGAACCAGUGAGCGUUGAAAAGCUUUUGGAUGAGAUGUGGGUAGGGGUGAAAUGCCAAUCGAACGUGGAGAUAGCUGGUUCUCCCCGAAAUAGCUUUAGGGCUAGCCUCAUGGUAAGAGUACAGGCGGUAGAGCACUGAACGAGGUAGGGGCCUGUCCGGCUACCGAACUUAAUCAAACUGCGAAUGGCUGUACUUAUACAUGGGAGUCAGACUGCGAGUAAUAAGGCCCGUAGUCAAGAGGGAAACAGCCCAGACCAACAGCUAAGGUCCCCAAUGCCGUACUAAGUGGCGAAGGAUGUGGAAUUUCGAAAACAACCAGGAUGUUGGCUUAGAAGCAGCCACCAUUAAAAGAGUGCGUAAUAGCUCACUGGUCGAGAGACUCUGCGCCGAAGAUGACCGGGGCUAAAGUACGGAACCGAAGCUUUGGCAAGUAUCAUGAGAUACUUGGGUAGGGGAGCGUUCCUGCAUGGGAGAAGCCUGACCGGAAGGACAGGUGGACAGGCAGGAAGAGAGAAUGCCGGUAUGAGUAGCGAAAAGAAAGGUGAGAAUCCUUUCCACCGAAAGCCUAAGGGUUCCUGGGCAACGAUCGUCGACCCAGGGUAAGUCGGGACCUAAUCCGAGGCGGAGACGCGUAGGAGAUGGACAACAGGUUGAAAAUCCUGUACCGCAGGAGUCUGUUUGAGCGAAGGAGUGACACAGAAAGGAAUGCGCGCGUGCGAUUGGAAGAGCACGUCCAAGCUGGUAGGUUGUGUGGCAGGCAAAUCCGCCAUACUAAAAGCCGAGAAGUGAUGGGGAGCCAUUGGAGACAAUGGCGAAGGGGCAGGAACUAGGCUGUCGAGAAAAGCUUCUAGUGAGGACUCAGGCGCCCGUACCGAAACCGACACAGGUAGGCAGGAAGAGAAUUCUAAGGUGCGCGGGAAAACCCUCGUUAAGGAACUCGGCAAAAUGUAUCCGUAACUUCGGGAAAAGGAUAGCCUAAAGUAUGUGAGCUGCAGAAACGCAGGGAGCAGGAAUAGGCGGCAGAAGAGAGGCCCAAGCGACUGUUUACCACAAACACAGGCGUCUGCUAAAGCGAAAGCUGACGUAUAGAUGCUGACACCUGCCCGGUGCUGGAAGGUUAAGAGGACGUGUUAGCCGUAAGGCGAAGCAGAGAAUUGAAGCCCCAGUAAACGGCGGCCGUAACUAUAACGGUCCUAAGGUAGCGAAAUUCCUUGUCGGGUAAGUUCCGACCCGCACGAAAGGUGUAACGAUUUGGGCACUGUCUCAACGAGGGACCCGGUGAAAUUGAAGUACCUGUGAAGAUGCAGGUUACCCGCGACUGGACAGAAAGACCCCAUGGAGCUUUACUGUAACCUGAGAUUGGAUUCCGGUAAGAGAUGUACAGGAUAGUUGGGAGGCUGAGAAACGGGUACGCCAGUAUCCGCAGAGCCGGUGGUGGGAUACCAACCUUGUUUUAUUGGGAUUCUAACGAGAGACGUAACGAGUCUUUGGACAGUCUCAGGCGGGCAGUUUGACUGGGGCGGUCGCCUCCGAAAGAGCAA